ensembl:lncRNA
GACAGAAGCCCCUGAGGAGUCUGCGGUUCUUCCUAUCUUUUUGUAAAUGCCUACAGCCGUUGAGAAAAUAACACGUCCUCCAGACUCUGAGAAAGAGGACGAAGCACUGGAUGACAGAGAGUCAGAGACAGAAGUUCUUCUUAAGGUGGUAGAGGGAAACAGGACGGCAGGCUGUGCUGAGAAGACAGCAGAAAUAAACUUGCUGAACAGCCUCUUCCAGGGUGAAAAAAAGAAGCGGUGCUGAAUUCACACAGUUCAACCAUUGAAAUUCCCUAUCAGAGCCAAUUCUCUGCCUUCUAAGCUUCUCC